CCUACGGGUGGCAGCAGUGGGGAAUAUUGGGCAAUGGGCGCAAGCCUGACGCAGCAACGCCGCGUGAAGGAAGAAGGCUUUCGGUUUGUAAACUUCUUUUGUCAGGGAAGAGUAGAAGACGGUACCUGACGAAUAAGCCACGGCUAACUACGUGCCAGCAGCAGCGGUAAUACGUAGGUGGCAAGGGUUAUCCGGAUUUACUGGGUGUAAAGGGCGUGUGGACGGGUUACCAAGUCAGAUGUGAAAUCCUGCGGCUUAACCGCAGAACUGCAUUUGAAACUGUUGAUCUUGAGUACUGGAGAGGCAGAUGGAAUUCCUAGUGUAGCGGUGAAAUGCGUAGAUAUUAGGAGGAACACCAGUGGCGAAGGCGGUCUUCUGGACAGCAACUGACGGUGAGGCGCGAAAGCGUGGGGAGCAAACAGGAUUAGAUACCCGAGUAGUC
rnacentral:rRNA from 1 species